rfam:Schistosoma margrebowiei strain Zambia genome assembly, scaffold: SMRZ_contig0009032
AUCCAGCUGAUGAGUGCCAAACAGAACGAAUUGUACAUCUUGGAU